rnacentral:rRNA from 1 species
UACCCGCAGCACAAGUGGUGGUCAUUAUUAUUGGGCCUAAAGCGUCCGUAGCUGGCUUGUUAGAUGCCUGGGUAAAUCGAUGCGCUUAACGCAUCGAAUUCCGGGUAGACCGGCAAGCUCGAGACCGGGAGAGGUGUAGGGUACUCGGGGGGUAGGGGUAAAAUCCAGUAAUCCUCCGGGGACGACCAGUGGCGAAGGCGCUACACUAGAACGGCUCUGACAGUGAGGGACGAAGCCCUGGGGCGCAAACCGG